UUAUUGUAAAGGUAAACUGCCCGUAAGGGUAGGACACAAAACUAGAGGACCCUGAAGGAAAACGUUCAGGGUAGCCAGUUGCCAAA
rnacentral:ncRNA from 1 species